AAUCAGAAAUCGGGACAAUAGUCAGCCAUUGCUGUUUACCUGUGUCGCAUGGUGUCGGGUUGGUCUGCCUGUGUCGGGGUGUUUAUUGGACAGUACGAAGCAUGUUUUGAUAGUAAUUAAUCGGGAAGACGGAUUUCAAAUUGACCUAUCCUUUACACAAACGUGAAUGACAACGAUGCUAGUGUCACCACCAAACAAUUGGACAUUCCGCCUCUCGCUGACAGCAUCCAAAAUUUGCAAUAAGAUGUCAUGGGUGCAAAGGUUUUGUUCGCAAACUUCAUAGCAGGGCAGAUCACUCCUUUUUUGGUUGCAAUGCAGAUUAUUCCACCAGUCUCUGCAAGCCCAUGUUUACAGACAAGCAAGAUCGCCUUUGCAGUCGUACCUAAAUGCAUGUGCUUUAAUUUAAAUUUUGAUAUAUAGACCGGCCAAUGUUUAUUGUAUGGUGUAAAAGGAUGCAACCUUAAAUAUUAUUUGAUAUUAUGUAUGUGACUUGUUGGAGAAGAUUUUUUGCUGAAUAGAUGAUUUUAAUAAAAUAUUAAUGUAUA